GAUGAACGCUGGCGGCGUGCCUAAUACAUGCAAGUCGAGCGAACAGACGAGAGUGCUUGCACUCUCUGACGUUAGCGGCGGACGGGUGAGUAACACGUGGGUAACCUACCUAUAAGACUGGGAUAACUUCGGGAAACCGGAGCUAAUACCGGAUAAUAUUUAGCUUCGCAUGAAGCAAUAGUGAAAGACGGUUCUGCUGUCACUUAUAGAUGGACCCGCGGUGUAUUAGCUAGUUGGUGAGGUAACGGCUCACCAAGGCAACGAUACAUAGCCGACCUGAGAGGGUGAUCGGCCACACUGGGACCGAGACACGGCCCAGACUCCUACGGGAGGCAGCAGUAGGGAAUCUUCCGCAAUGGACGAAAGUCUGACGGAGCAAUGCCGCGUGAGUGAAGAAGGUUUUCGGAUCGUAAAACUCUGUUGUAAGGGAAGAACAAGUACGUUAGUAACUGAACGUACCUUGACGGUACCUUACCAGAAAGCCACGGCUAACUACGUG
rnacentral:rRNA from 1 species